rfam:Oryza sativa (indica cultivar-group) chromosome 10, whole genome shotgun sequence.
AAAAAGAUAAACUCUGGUUUCCAUGUCCAACGUUUGACCGUCCGUCUUAUUUGAAAAAAUUAUGAAAAAAAUUAAAAAGACAAGUCACGCAUAAAAUAUUAAUCAUAUUUUAUCAUCUAACAACAAUGAAAAUAUGAAUUAUAAAAAAAAUUUCAUAUAAGACGGAUAGUCAAAGUUGGACACGGAAACCCAGGGUUUGCCUUUUU